GAGUUUGAUUCUGGCUCAGGAUGAACGCUGGCGGCGUGCCUAACACAUGCAAGUCGAACGGAGAACUUAAGUGGAAGUUUUCGGAUGGAAACUUUUGUUCUUAGUGGCGGACGGGUGAGUAACGCGUGGGCAACCUGCCUCAUACAGGGGGACAACAGACGGAAACGUCUGCUAAGACCGCAUACGUCUUUUUGGUCGCAUGACUGAGAAGGGAAAAGAGCAGUCUGGUAUGAGAUGGGCCCGCGUCUGAUUAGCUGGUUGGUAAGGUAACGGCUUACCAAGGCAACGAUCAGUAGCCGGACUGAGAGGUCGGACGGCCACAUUGGGACUGAGACACGGCCCAAACUCCUACGGGAGGCAGCAGUGGGGGAUAUUGCACAAUGGAGGAAACUCUGAUGCAGCGACGCCGCGUGAGUGAAGAAGUAUUUCGGUAUGUAAAGCUCUAUCAGCCAGGGAAGAUGAUGACGUACCU
rnacentral:rRNA from 1 species